GACGAACGCUGGCGGCGGGCUUAACACAUGCAAGUCGAACGGAAAGGCCCUGCUUUUGUGGGGUGCUCGAGUGGCGAACGGGUGAGUAACACGUGUGUAACCUGACCUUGACUUUGGGAUAACUUCACGAAACUGGGGCUAAUACAGGAUAGGAUCUCCUGCUGCAUGGUGGGGGGUGGAAAGUUUCGGCGGUUGGGGAUGGACUCGCGGCUUAUCAGCUUGUUGGUGGGGUAGUGGCUUACCAACGCUUUGACGGGUAGCCGGCCCGAGAGGGUGACCGGCCACAUUGGGACUAAGAUACGGCCCAGACUGCUACGGGAGGCAGCAGUGGGAAGUCUUGCACAAUGGGCCGAAGCCUGAUGCGACAACGCCGCGUGCGGGAUGACGGCCUUCGGGUUGAGAACCGCAGUAGCCUAAGACGAAGCGUGAGUAACGGUACUGAAUGAAGAAGCACCGGCUAACUACGUG
rnacentral:rRNA from 1 species